rnacentral:rRNA from 1 species
AUUGAACGCUGGCGGAAUGCUUUACACAUGCAAGUCGAACGGCAGCACGGGGCAACCUGGUGGCGAGUGGCGAACGGGUGAGUAAUACAUCGGAACGUGCCCAGUCGUGGGGGAUAACGUAGCGAAAGUUACGCUAAUACCGCAUACGAUCUAAGGAUGAAAGCGGGGGAUCGCAAGACCUCGCGCGAUUGGAGCGGCCGAUGUCAGAUUAGGUAGUUGGUGGGGUAAAGGCCCACCAAGCCGAAGAUCUGUAGCUGGUCUGAGAGGACGACCAGCCACACUGGGACUGAGACACGGCCCAGACUCCUACGGGAGGCAGCAGUGGGGAAUUUUGGACAAUGGGCGCAAGCCUGAUCCAGCCAUUCCGCGUGCAGGAUGAAGGCCUUCGGGUUGUAAACUGCUUUUGUACGGAGCGAAAAGGCUCUCUCUAAUACAGGGGGCUCAUGACGGUACCUGAAGAAUAAGCACCGGCUAACUACGUGCCAGCCGCCGCGGUAA